GAGUUGAUGGUUCACUGCUGCUGCACACAUCCAUGUGGCAGCCUCUUUGGGCACAGCAAAGAGGAGAUGUCAUCCGCUUACAUCAGCCCGAGGCCACGAUGCCAUGUCCACCCUGAGGGCCAGAAAUCAGAAGGGACCUUCCUUCCCUGCCCCUUGGACAACAUCAUUCAACACUGCAACUUCUGGUGGACAGGAAGCUCACCAUUCCUCAGUCAGAGCAAAAGCCUGAAAAGAGAGGCCUGUGAAGGGGCUGAUACAAUGAACUCCCAAAUCCGCUCAAGCAUGAUGUGGUAAAGGCAAUAAACUGGUGUCAAGCCCUGUCAACCAGGCUCCCAGGCCUGACUCUGCCGGGAGGGAUUAUGAAGGAGUCAGUCACCCAGUGAAUCAUGGGAAAGCUGUCUCCAGAGCCCCAGCCAACCCACCCAGCUGACAUAAGUCUGCCUUUCUGCUUCCCUUUCUCCCUCUACCACUGACUAAAAAUAAAACAGAAAAUCAUUAACAUUGACUUACUGCAAUAACUUAUACUUUUAUAAUAGGAAAAUAUAGUAAAAACACUGAAAGAGGCCAAACUGGGAGACUCCAGGAGUCAGGAUUCGGGCAGGGAAGAGAGGGAUGAGGGGUUCCGUGUGGGCAGCGCCGGGCUCAUUCAAGACCUCCACUCCAAGCCGUCCUCCCCUCUAAGAGGUGAAGGCGGAGUCGGAAGAGAACAGGAGCCUGUGGUUCAGAAAGCUGAAGUAUUAAUACCAUGGGCUUGGGAAACAUCUCAGUUGCUCUGAGACUUCUGUUUCUUGGUCAGCAAAAUUGGCUUUAGUGGUACCAUAAGUCCUCAACUUACGAACAUUUGCGUUGCAAACUUUCACAGGUAUGCUGUGUACGAGUCCCAGGUGGACUAUAUAAGACUCACUUUGUCGGAUUAUGAAGGAAUCCAACUUGUGAAUGUUCUCCCAGAAUGGAACUAGUUCAGAAGUUAGGGACUUCCUGUAUACCCAGGCCUGGGCAGAAGGGUGAAGUGUAGGUCU
rnacentral:lncRNA from 1 species